rnacentral:rRNA from 1 species
CCUACGGGAGGCAGCAGUGGGGAAUUUUGCGCAAUGGGGGCAACCCUGACGCAGCAACGCCGCGUGAGUGAUGAAGGCCUUCGGGUCGUAAAGCUCUGUCAGAGGGGAAGAAAUGCAGGUGGUGAACAACCAUUCUGUUUGACGGUACCCUCAAAGGAAGCACCGGCUAACUCCGUGCCAGCAGCCGCGGUAAUACGGAGGGUGCGAGCGUUGUUCGGAAUUAUUGGGCGUAAAGCGCGUGUAGGCGGUUUGUAAAUUCUGAUGAAAAAGCCCCGGGCACAACCGGGGAAGUGCAUUGGAUACUGGCAGACUUGAGUACGGGAGAGGAGAGUGGAAUUCCCAGUGUAGGGGUAAAAUCCGUAGAUAUUGGGAGGAACACCGGUGGCGAGGGCGGCUCUCUGAACCGAUACUGACGCUGAGACGCGAAAGCGUGGGGAGCAAACAGGAUUAGAUACCCCUGUAGU